rnacentral:rRNA from 1 species
UACGUAGGGUGCAAGCGUUAAUCGGAAUUACUGGGCGUAAAGCGUGCGCAGGCGGUUGUGCAAGACCGAUGUGAAAUCCCCGGGCUUAACCUGGGAAUGGCAUUGGUGACUGCACGGCUAGAGUGUGUCAGAGGGGGGUAGAAUUCCACGUGUAGCAGUGAAAUGCGUAGAGAUGUGGAGGAACACCGAUGGCGAAGGCAAUCCCCUGGGCCUGUACUGACGCUCAUGCACGAAAGCGUGGGGAGCAAACAGG